rnacentral:rRNA from 1 species
CCUACGGGAGGCAGCAGUGGGGGAUAUUGCACAAUGGGGGAAACCCUGAUGCAGCGACGCCGCGUGAGCGAUGAAGUAUUCCGGCAUGUAAAGCUUCAUCAGCAGGGAAGCAAAUGACGGCACCUGACCAUGAAGCCCCGGCUAACUACGUGCCAGCAGCCGCGGGAAUAAGUGGGGGGCAAGCGUUAUCCGGAUUUUCUGGGGGUAAAGGGGGCGUAGUCGGCAGUGCAAGUCUGUAGGGAAAAGCAAGGGCUCAACCCUUGGACUGCCUUGGAAACUGUGCGGCUGGAGUGUCGGAGAGGCAAGUGGAAUGCGUAGUGUAGCGGUGAAAUGCGUAGAUAUUGGGAGGAACACCGGUGGCGAAGGCAGCUUGCUGGAGGAUGACUGACGUUGAGGCACGAAAGCGUGGGGAGCGAACAGGAUUAGAUACCCUGGUAGUC